GCCUAAAGGCUGAACCAGUAACUUGGAAGAAUGAAAAUGUAUUAGUAAUAAUACAAUAACGAUUAAUUCGUAUAAAAUUCUAAAUAGGAUAAUGAUAAUGACAAUUUCCUAUUUAUAAGUCUUGACCAAAUUACGUGCCAGCAGUCGCGGUAAUACGUAGAAGACUAGUGUUAGUCAUCUUUAUUAGGUUUAAAGGGUACCUAGACGGUAAAUUAAACUCUAAAUGAGUACUUUUUUACUAGAGUUUUAUGAGAGAAGGAAGAAUUUCUGGAGUAGAGAUAAAAUGCUUUGAUACCAGAAGGACUGGUAACGGCGAAGGCAUCCUUCUAUGUAAAAACUGACGUUGAGGGACGAAGGCUUGGGUAGCAAUAAGGAUUAGAUACCCUAGUAGUCCAAGCAGAAAAUGAUGAAUGUCAUAGGCUAGAUAAUAUAUUUAGUCUAUAAAUGAAAGUGUAAGCAUUCCACCUCAAGAGUAAUAUGGCAACAUAUAAACUGAAAUCAUUAGACCGUUUCUGAAACCAGUAGUGAAGUAU
rnacentral:rRNA from 2 species